CCGGAAGCGGAGGGGGCCGGGGGAAGAUGGCGGCCGUCUCGAAACUGGAGCCGCGUGGUCCGGGCGGGCGGACGCUCGGUCGGGCCGGGCCCGCGGGGCCCCCGCGAGCACGCCGGUGAGGCGGCUGGACCGCGUGAAGGGUCACCUUCUGCGGCACGGCGAGAGAAUCCUGCGCGGCUGGUUCCGCUCGCGGCUCAGGUCACGGCACCCCUGGGUCUGGGGGAGUGGGGAGACACGCCUGUGAGUUCAGGGGCGCUGCAGGUACUCCUCGUCAAAGCCACAGAGAAGCUGACGAGGAGAUGCAGUGAACAGAGCGUGCCUCCUGCCUGAGCAGGUCCUUUGGUAGUUAGGAAUGGUUUCCUUUGGGGUCAAAGGCUGAACUUUCAGCUAGGAUAAAUUAAGAGCCGCCUGCUACCUUCAUUAGGGUCAAGUGUUUCACUUCUGUGUGUUCCUACUGGUUCCAGGGGAAAGUGGGAAAUAGCCUUUUCUUUGCCUACGCGUAACUCAAUUUGGGCUAGUCUGUGGUGUCAGUCUAGUUCAUGUUUGAGCACCAAGGUGCCAGUAGAAACGUACCAACUGAAACGUGACGGAAGCCGAUGCGUUGCUUGAUUUUUAUUCUUUUUUAUUAUUAUUAUUGCUUGAUUGUGGAGGGUGUGUUUUUCUGUGGCUCAGUCCACGUUGUUCCUUGGAGCCUUCAGUCUAUGACUUUUAAGCAAAAAAAAGUUUGUCGUUCCAGAAGAGGACUGGUCCUUCCUAGGACUGAGGUGUAGACUCGGAGGGUCUCUUAAGUACGCGGUCAGAAUGAAAGCCAAACUUCACUGGAUGUUGCUGCUGUCGGUCUUCCCUUUUGCUAAUGUCCCCACAGCUUCCUCAUGGGUGGGAGCUCUGAAUCAUCCUUGAUUUUUUUUUUUUUUUUUCAGUCUCUAACAUGUUUUUUUGUGUCCCCAGGAAGAGGCUACGUUUAAAAGUUCAUUAGUUUCCUCCUGACCGUGCCAGUGACUAAAACUGAGUUAUGAUUUUUUGAAACAGAAAAAUGACACCGCUCUUAGAGAUCCGGGCUAUUUCUGAACAUGUUUUCGUCACGUGCAAAUGUCCUCGGGAUGGAGAUCGCCUGCGCUUGGUGCUCUGACGAGAUGACACGCUGAGACAGGGAAGAGCUCCGGCAGCCAGAAAAGACACAAGGCGAUCGAGGUCAAAGGAGAGACGUGGACGAACUGGGACAAAGCGGCGUCUCGCUUCUGCACGUUUUCCAGGUGUUCCCACGAAGCGCCAGCAGCAUCGUAACUAGUGACAGCGAGUCCUGAUGUAGCUUUGAAUGUCAACUGCCAGCGUUUCUCCAUGUGGUGUUGUGCCGUGACAGUGCAGGACAGACGGAAAGGAUCCGGAGUGCUCUGCGAGUAUGAGGGUUUGACCCCUCCGUCUCGGCUGCAUCGACCCUGUGAAUGAGGUGACCGGCAGCAGCAGUGCCGUUACCAAAGGCAGGCCUCUGCUUUGUUUCUGAAAUAGUUGUUUCUUACUAACCCUUAUUGUGUGAGAAAAUAGCUAAUUACCGACUUUAUUACUGUGUAAAAAUAGUCACUGAGCUGAUGUUACAGAUAGUGAUAGUGAGGAGACAACCAGAAGUAGUUAAUCACUUCAAGGUUCUUCUAUAUGUCAAGUAUGUACUCUUAUACCAAUUAGGAUGGAGUUAGGGCUGCUUCAAAGAACAUCCUUAUUAUCUUCAAGAAGUUGGCAAACUUACAGCAAACAUUUAGCGUCCUGAGAUGACUCAACACCUUAAAAGGAUAAUGUGAGGAAGGGCCUCCUUACCCAAACGACCACGGGGAAGCUCACGCUUGUGCAGAAGUGUUUUGCCGCCACAGCAAAAUUUGAUACACGUGUGCAAAAAGCCUAUUCGGUCAUCCUGAUGAAUAGGCAAGCCUAGGUGGAGUUAUGGAUUAGGUAGGUGGAAUUAUGAGAAUAUUUUGUGUAUAAAUAGUGGGUGAAUAUGCCUGGUAAGGUGUGCUAGACUGUGGUUUUUCCCCCUAGCACCCGAUGUCUAAUAAAGCACUGUCUCCUCUCUGAACUACCUUCGGUUUCAAGGGCUUUUAUUUCAGGUCACAGCACCAGGGCCGUAGCUGCGGCGGUGGCUCCGUCAGCGUGGAUUCUGGUUACGGCCCAGCCCGGUCCUGCCGCCCCGCACGCAGGGUGACGGAUCUCCGGGCGGCCGCGCUGGGAGGAAGGGGCCAGGCGUUUUUCAGCGCGGGCCAGAGGGUUUGCCGUCACACUAAGAACGUGUUCCAAAUGGCAUCGGUUAGCCUUAAUCCUGACGUCAGGAGCUGGGCUGGCGCUGGCUUUUGCAGGCUGUGCUGUGUUUGGAGCUGAGGCGUUUCCCCAGAAUCCUCCUGUAGCUCCUGUCCUGUCCCUUGGCCUGAGGGAAUGCCUCUGUUCUCUUCUGCGCGACUUUCCCAGCACGCUGAACUCUAACGGGGGAUUUCUGUUUUCCAGGUGCCUCGUUGGCAUCGCGCGCUGCUCCAGAGACGCCCCAGCCCAGGUUUGCAGCCGGUGGCGGAGACCCCCUGAGGGGAAGGGGCCAGCCCUGGGUCUGGGCGUUGUGUUCCUUUUUUGGGGGGGAAUAGAAGGGUGUCUGUGUGUGUCUGGGGGUGAUGACGUCAUUGGGGGCACCCCCAUGUCACCGGGGCAGUGACGAUGCGGCGGAGGAGCAGGUGAGCAGGGGAUGGGGGGGGGUUAUGUGAGGGUCUCAGUCCCAAAACGUUGGAAAAUUCUUGGGAUGCAUUAAAAAAUGUGAAAACCUGUAACUACGGGCGUGAGGCAUUGAACUAGAGAACGAUUCUCAUUUAUGUACGAGAAAUACGUGUAUUGAGAAACAAUACUAAUUUAUGUAUGUAAAAUAAGUUCACAAUAAAA